UAAGGAAUAUUGGUCAAUGGGCGCAAGCCUGAACCAGCAACGCCGCGUGGAGGAAGAAGGGUUUCGGCUCGUAAACUCCUUUUAGGUGGGACGAGACAGGACGGUACCACCUGAAUAAGUCUCGGCUAACUACGUGCCAGCAGCCGCGGUAAAACGUAGGAGACGAGCGUUAUCCGGAUUUACUGGGCGUAAAGCGCGUGCAGGCGGUUCAAUAAGUCAUAUGUGAAAGCACCUGGCUCAACUGGGUGAGGCCAUGUGAGACUGUUGAACUAGAGAGAGGUAGAGGCCAACGGAAUUCCGGGUGGAGUGGUGAAAUGCGUAGAGAUCCGGAGGAACACCAGUGGCGAAGGCGGUUGGCUGGGCCUACUCUGACGCUCAGACGCGACAGCAUGGGGAGCGAACGGGAUUAGAAACCCCCGGUAGUCCAUGCCGUAAACGAUGCAUACUAAGUGUCUGCCUGUAAAAGGGUGGGUGCUGGACCCAACGCGCUAAGUAUGCCGCCUGGGGAGUACGGCCGCAAGGCUA
rnacentral:rRNA from 1 species